ensembl:miRNA
CUCUAGGAAGCGACCAUGAUGUAACUUCACAGACUCUCCAAAAGUCUGAAGUCACAUCAUGGUCGCUUCCUAGAG